rfam:Camelus ferus unplaced genomic scaffold scaffold111057, whole genome shotgun sequence.
GAGGGUAUGGCUCAGUGGUAAGAGUGCAUACCUAGCAUGCACAAGGUCCUGGGUUUGAUCCCCAGUACCUCCA